rnacentral:rRNA from 1 species
AGUGAACGCUGGCGGUAGGCCUAACACAUGCAAGUCGAACGGCAGCACAGGAGAGCUUGCUCUCUGGGUGGCGAGUGGCGGACGGGUGAGGAAUACAUCGGAAUCUACUCUGUCGUGGGGGAUAACGUCGGGAAACUUACGCUAAUACCGCAUACGACCUACGGGUGAAAGCAGGGGACCUUCGGGCCUUGCGCGAUUGAAUGAGCAGAUGUCGGAUUAGCGAGUUGGCGGGGUAAAGGCCCACCAAGGCGACGAUCCGUAGCUGGUCUGAGAGUAUGAGCAGCCACUCUGGAACUGAGACACGGUCGAUACUCCUACGGGAGGCAGCAGUAGGGAAUAGUGGACAAUGGGCGCAAGCCUGAUUCAGCCAUACCGCGUGGGUGAAGAAGGCCUUCGGGUUGUAAAGCCCUUUUGUUGGGAAAGAAAUCCAGCUGGCUAAUACCCGGUUGGGAUGACGGUACCCAAAGAAUAAGCACCGGCUAACUUCGUGCCAGCCGCCGCCGUAA